UACGUAGGGUGCGAGCGUUGUCCGGAAUUAUUGGGCGUAAAGAGCUUGUAGGUGGCUCGUUGCGUCGGGAGUGAAAACCUGCGGCUUAACCGCAGGCCUGCUUCCGAUACGGGCGAGCUAGAGUUCGGCAGGGGAGACUGGAAUUCCUGGUGUAGUGGUGAAAUGCGUAGAGAUCAGGAGGAACACCGGUAGCGAAGGCGGCCGACUGGGCUGUCUCUGACGCUGAGGCGCGAAAGCUCGGGGAGCGAACGGG
rnacentral:rRNA from 1 species